AUGGCAAACAACUCUGAUCACCUAAAGAAGGGAUUCAAUACCCUGGUGGCGUUAGGUGCUUGGAUUCUUUGGACUCACCGCAAUGCAUGUGUGUUUGACGGAGCAGCUCCAAGCAUGGCAAGAGCGCUGGACACUGCCGGUGAUGAGCGGCGUCUUUGGGAGAUUGCAGGUGCACGGGGCCUCAUUUUCCCCUUUGAUUUUCAGGCGAGAAUGUAA
rnacentral:rRNA from 1 species